AACGUAGGUGGCGAGCGUUAUCCGGAAUUACUGGGCGUAAAGCGUGUGCAGGCGGGUGGUCAAGUGGUGUAUGAAAUAUCCCGGCUCAACCGGGAAGGGUUAUGCCAGACUGACUAUCUAGAGGCUGAGAGAGGAGCGUGGAAUUCCGGGUGUAGUGGUGAAAUGCGUAGAGAUCCGGAGGAACCCCAGAGGCGAAGGCGGCGCUCUGGCUCAGCCCUGACGCUCAGACACGACAGCAUGGGGAGCGAACGGG
rnacentral:rRNA from 1 species